rnacentral:pre_miRNA from 1 species
GCCUGGUGUGUGUCUGUGUGUGUGUGUGUGUGUGUGUGUGUGUGUGUGUGUGCGCGCACGUGCGCACGCACGCAAUGCACUGAGUAAG